GACGUAGGGCGCGAGCGUUGUCCGGAUUUAUUGGGCGUAAAGAGCUCGUAGGCGGCUUGUCGCGUCGGCUGUGAAAACCCGCGGCUCAACUGUGGGCGGGCAGCUGAUACGGGCAGGCUGGAGUUCGGUGAGGGGAGACUGGAAUUCCUGGUGUGAGACGGUGGAAAUGCGCAGAUAUCAGGAGGAACACCGGUGGCGAAGGCGGGAUCUCUGGGCCUUACCUGACGCUGAGGCGCGAAAGCUAGGGGAGCGAACAGG
rnacentral:rRNA from 1 species